rnacentral:rRNA from 1 species
AGUGAACGCUGGCGGCAGGCCUAACACAUGCAAGUCGAGCGGCAGCGCGGGGCAACCCUGGCGGCGAGCGGCGGACGGGUGAGGAAUACAUCGGAAUCUACCUUCUUGUGGGGGAUAACGUAGGGAAACUUACGCUAAUACCGCAUGAGACCUGAGGGUGAAAGCAGGGGACCGCAAGGCCUUGCGCGAGAAGAUGAGCCGAUGUCCGAUUAGCUAGUUGGUGAGGUAAAGGCUCACCAAGGCGACGAUCGGUAGCUGGUCUGAGAGGAUGAUCAGCCACACUGGAACUGAGACACGGUCCAGACUCCUACGGGAGGCAGCAGUGGGGAAUAUUGGACAAUGGGCGCAAGCCUGAUCCAGCCAUGCCGCGUGUGUGAAGAAGGCCUUCGGGUUGUAAAGCACUUUUGUUCGGGAAGAAAUCUUCCGACCUAAUACGUCGGGAGGCUGACGGUACCGAAAGAAUAAGCACCGGCUAACUUCGUGCCAGCAGCCGCGGUAAUACGAAGGGUGCAAGCGUUACUCGGAAUUACUGGGCGUAAAGCGUGCGUAGGUGGUUCGUUAAGUCUGCCGUGAAAGCCCCCGGGCUCAACCUGGGAAUGGCGGUGGAUACUGGCGGACUAGAGUGCGGUAGAGGGUGGUGGAAUUCCCGGUGUAGCAGUGAAAUGCGUAGAGAUCGGGAGGAACAUCUGUGGCGAAGGCGGCCACCUGGACCAGC